rnacentral:rRNA from 1 species
ACUCAAAUGAAUUGACGGGGGCCCGCACAAGCAGUGGAGUAUGUGGUUUAAUUCGAGGCAACGCGAAGAACCUUACCAGGGUUUGACAUCCUGUGCUAGGCUUAGAGAUAAGCUGUUCCCGCAAGGGACGCAGAGACAGGUGGUGCAUGGUUGUCGUCAGCUCGUGUCGUGAGAUGUUCGGUUAAGUCCGGCAACGAGCGCAACCCUCGUGGCCAGUUACCAUCAUUAAGUUGGGGACUUUGGCGAGACUGCCGUUGACAAAACGGAGGAAGGUGGGGAUGACGUCAAAUCAUCAUGCCCCUUAUAUCCUGGGCUACACACGUACUACAAUGGGCGUUACAACGGGCAGCCACACCGCGAGGUGGAGCGAAUCCCCAAAGGCGCCCUCAGUUCGGAUUGCAGGCUGCAACUCGCCUGCAUGAAGUCGGAAUUGCUAGUAAUGGCAGGUCAGCAUACUGCCGUGAAUACGUUCCCGGGCCUUGCACACACCGCCCGU